rnacentral:rRNA from 1 species
GACGAACGCUGGCGGCGUGCCUAAUACAUGCAAGUAGGACGCAGAUGCGAACGGGAGAGUAAGGCGUAGGUAACUACCUAUUAGAGGGGGAUAACUAUUGGAAACGAUAGCUAAUACCGCAUACUAGUAGAUGGAGCUGCGUUGGAUUAGCUAGUAGGUAGGGUAAUGGGCUACCAAGGCAACGAUACAUAGGCGACCUGGGAGGGUGAUCGGCCACAAUGGGACCGGGAAACGGGCCAGACUCCUACGGGAGGCAGCAGUAGGGAAGCAUCGGAAAUGGGGGGAACCCUGACCGAGCAACGCCGCGUGAGUGAAGAAGGGUUUCGGAUCGUAAAGCUCUGUUGUUAAGGGAGCGGUACUUAACCAGAAAGGGACGGCUAACUACGUGCCAGCAGCCGCGGUAAUAC